UCAUUUCGCGUUAGAGCGAAUAAUGGAAUACUAAUUAAUCUGAAUUGUAUUAAUAUAUUACUUUUUUAAAUAAAGUGAUCAUAAAAAAAUCGAAUGUACUAAUAUUUUUAUGUACUGUUAUAUUUCUAUAUUACAAUUCUUAGCAGAUAUCUGUAUCAUUGAUGCAAGAUGUACGAGUCACACAGUUGACAUAUAUUUUAUAUUUCCCGGCGGAUAUGGUGUACGAGGAAGUAGAGACGCAUGCGCGUCGGUGUCGUUGCUCGGCAGUAUUCAAUCGUACCUCGACUGGUGCUGAUCGUUCGUGUCAAUCUCGAUAUUAAUCCGCCGCGUUUUCGCAAAAGAACUCGUAAACCGUUUCAUUCGUCGUAUCACUCUUUAAUACGUUACAACCAUUCAUAAAUACUCGAUAGUUUUAUUCAUGUUUCGUUCGUGUAUCAUCUGUCCUAUACCGUCACGUCAAAUUCUAGGGUUGUCACUUGAACAAAUUUUUAUUUAACGUUUAGCUGUGUCAUUGAUGUGCGACGUAUGUACACUCGAAAGUCAAAAACGUGGACUCAGUGCGCGCAUAUUCAUAAAACGGUAGUGAAUCAAUAGGCAAGAAGGAUUUGUAAUGCGUGAUAAUACCGACUGAGGUUUCGAUUGUCGCAACCGCGUGGAAUAUUCAAGACGCCAUCGCGUGUACUUGACGUUUGCAAGUGAUGCUGGUUGUUUGGCAAGGAGCUCGCCGUUGCCUGAGUUGCAGCGGGCAGCGCACCAAUCAAGGCUACCAACUGCGCUGUUAUCGCGGGUCAGUCGGCGAUAGAUUUGAUCGAUAUCAACUCAUUGGUACCCGAGAAGAAGAUGCGGCGUUGCAGCUGGAGCUGAAACCGCCUCGCAGGUUGCGACGAACGGACGGUCCGAAACCUCGACCGGUCACCAAAAACAAUAUUUACUGCCAUGGCGAGCUCUUGCACACGAUACAGAUGGCCUCGAUCUACAAGGACUCGAAGACGUUCGUCGACAUGAAGAUGAAACAGUCGCCGAACCAGACGCUGCAGCUGUUCCGCGAGUUCAUGGAGCAAGUGGACGAGAUGCCGACCAGGCGUCAGAUCGAGCAGUUCGUGAACAGAACGUUCGACCCGGCCGGGUCCGAGUUCGAAGAGUGGGACCCGGCUGAUUGGACCAGUCGACCGCGGUUCCUCAACAAAAUCUUGGACGAGCAACUGCGGAAAUUCGCCUCUGAUUUGAACCACAUCUGGAAAAUGUUGGGUCGCAAGAUGAAAGACGACGUGAGGGUCAACGAGGACCACUACUCGAUCAUCUACGUCCCUAACCCAGUGAUAGUCCCUGGCGGCAGAUUCCGAGAGUUUUAUUACUGGGAUUCGUAUUGGAUCAUCAAAGGUCUGCUACUCUCAGAAAUGUACAGCACCGUGAGGGGGAUGCUGUCCAACUUCGUCUCGAUUGUGGACAAGAUCGGCUUCAUACCAAACGGUGGCAGAAUCUACUACGCGAUGAGAUCCCAACCGCCGAUGCUGUUGCCGAUGGUCGAACAGUAUUUGAAGGCCACGCACGAUUACAAGUGGCUGGAGGACAACUUCCACCUUCUCGAGAAGGAAUUUAACUUCUGGAUGGUCAAUCGAACGGUCGAGAUCGAGAUGGACGGUGAAACGUACACGUUGGCUAGGUACUGCGAGGCAUCCUCGGGACCCCGACCAGAGUCCUACAAAGAGGACUAUCUGACCAGCCAAAGUUUCCGCACCAACGAGGAGAAAGAAAAUUAUUACACGGAGCUGAAGACUGCCGCCGAAUCAGGCUGGGACUUUUCCACGCGUUGGUUCAUACUCGAUGGCACGAACAAAGGUAACCUGACGAACUUGAAAGCGAGAUCCAUAAUCCCCGUCGAUCUGAACGCGAUAAUCUAUGGGAAUGCGCAGCUGAUGGUACAGUAUAGUCUGAGGAUGGGUAACGAGUCGAAAGCAGCGUACUACCGGAAGAUCGGAGAGGAAUGGAAGAGGGCGGUGACUGCUGUGCUCUGGCACGACGAGGUUGGCGCCUGGCUUGACUAUGACAUCAUGAACGACAUCAAGAGGGACUACUUUUAUCCGACGAACAUCCUGCCGCUCUGGACCAAUUGUUUCGAUCUUCGGAAAAGGGAGGAGUACGUCGCUAAGGUGCUCAAGUAUCUCGAGAAGAAUCAGAUCAUGUUGAACCAGGGCGGCAUACCGACCACAUUUGAACACUCCGGAGAGCAAUGGGACUACCCGAACGCCUGGCCUCCACUGCAGUACUUCGUCGUCGUAGCGUUGAAUAACACCGAGGACCCGUGGGCCCAGAGACUGGCGUAUGAAAUCAGCCAACGAUGGGUGCGCAGCAAUUACAAGGCGUUCAACGAGACGCACAGCAUGUACGAGAAGUACGACGCGACCGUGUUCGGCGGUUACGGAGGCGGAGGCGAGUACGAGGUGCAGUUGGGCUUCGGCUGGUCGAACGGACUGAUUAUGGACUUGCUGGACAAGUACGGUGAUCGGUUGACGGCCGAGGAUCAUUUCGUGCCGACCGACGUUAUGGAGAGUGCGGCGCCUCAACCCGCGGUGGUCGUGUCGACGGCUGGUCAGUUGAUGACCGGUAUCCUCGCGCUGAUAAUAUCGCUGGCCGCAGGAUUUAUAGGGUGAGAUAUCCUUCUUCUGGUCUAACGCGUCUAGGCGGAAUACUCCCGCGAAAGGAAAACCGUUAUGUCGGUAGAGAAUCGCGCGUUUUACGUGAUCGCGUUACACUUUUGGGUCGCGGUGCAUAGAGGAUGCAAGCUCAUCCUCUAACCGACCUAAGCUUAUCCUCUUUGCUUUGGCUUAGCUCGGUGACCGAUCGACGGUAAUCGAUUAACGAAGGACCAAAUGAAAGCGAGUGCAGGCACUGGCAAGGCUCCAGAUAAAAAUAUAUAUAUAUAUUUUUUUCUUGUUAGCUAGUAUUACUUAGCAAAGCAGAGCGACUCGGUCCUACGAAGGAGUCGGACUUUCACGGUUGUUCCUCUAUCUUCUUAUUGACUCCUGCUUAAAAUCAUGUACAAAGUCUACCGAACGUUAGAGAUGACGAGGAGAAGAGAGUAGUUAGACUUGAUCACUUCACUUACUAGUAUCUUAUUAGCAGACCUCCAAGUGUCUGUGCUACUUUGGAACCAAGCUGAAUAAUCACGCUUUAAGUAACAACUCUUGGUUCACAAUUAUAAUAGUUAUUGCUACUGAGAAAGCACAACUUUUCAGAGACAAAAUUCUGCCUCUGUUCUAACGCCUAAUAUUAUCAUUUAUCAUUUAUUGUAGUGAAACUACGAUAGAUCUGAUAACUUAUCCCCGUAGUAGCUCACGUAAGACGAUCUCUAAUCCUCGGUAGACCUGCACUCUGCUUUGCUGCGAUAUUGUCGGCUGUUGCCGACAAUUGAUCAGCCAUUCGGCUUCGACCGUCAGGAUACCGGAACGUAGUCCGAUGAGCUUGUAGAGCUUAGAACGAUGGUAAAACCACAAGCUUGGAAAACGAAGGAAGCAAUCUAGACAGACGCUGUAACAUAAGAUCCUUCGCGACAACUCUUUGCGCAGGAUUACAGCGCAGGGUCUUAGCUUGAUGUUCUCUUAUUCAGUGGGAUUGCCAAUUUAAAAAGACCCGGAAAGCCUGACCAAUUAUUCCGUCUACCGCGUUCUCGCGGUGAACACGAUACGAGUAUUAUUACUUAACCAUUCCAUUUGCGGGUGAUGAUCCGUCGUUUCGGAGGAUAAUAAUUCUGUGAUCUUUGUGGGACCUCAUCGCUGGUCGAGUUUAACACGUUCCUACGAUUACCAAUUUUAUUAUUUUGCCGCCGGGUUCGAGCACACUCCGCCGACGAAAGCCUUAGAAUUCGCUUUCAGACGAUCUUUCCGGUCGUCUCGCGAGAGCGCGUGCGGGUUUGGCCAUAAUCGUUGUUAGUAUUACUAGAGUAACCAUUGCCGUGACGAAGCAGCGAACUGGGGCGAGAAACGAACAGACGAGCUUAUUUCAAAUGUCCGUCCUUAUUUCUGGGCUGGGUCUUUGUCGUGGACGGAAGAAGCGAGGGUGAUUCGAACGUUUGCGAUGCGCGCGAAUUGAAGCUGUCGAUCAAGGGACUACACAGUCGAAUCAUGGAAAAUCGAAGUACUGCUUUGGAAUUCAUUUUAAAAUUAAUUUUGCGGGAACGUUCAUCGAUAUCAUGCCUAAAUCUUUUGAUGACACACACAAUCGGCAACAGACCAACGUAUUCAUUCCUUUAUUCUUACAUGUAGCUACCACCCCUUGGCUUGUAAUUAUUUACAUUUUUUUCUAGCAAAGAAAUUGACAAUGAUUUCUCUAUUACGCAGUCGAUCUGCAAUCGCAGCGUGAUCGAUUCAUUUUUCUUUCAAUCUCCUGUUUAUCCAAAGAUCUUCUGUUAGUCUCAUCCCCGCCGAGUUGAAAUAUUACAUUGAAAUAAUAGUUUCUUCGAUGGAAUUCGAAAUUUACCCCUUUCUUCAUGACAAGGCAUCGCCAUUGGCACCGCGUCAACGUCGUAUACCUCUCCGUCACCGUUAAACUGUACGUCUCUGGUCCGAUGCUGCGGCGUUUUUACGAUCGACAGCCUUUCGUAACGGGUCGAUCGAAGGUGUGCUCACGAUUCGCUUUCGAUCGAAACUGGCACCGAGCGCGAAACGGCGAAUCGGGGCGAGCAGCGGAUGCAUCUAGUCAGACCUAGACACCAAAUGUGCUUACAUCGCGUUCCGAUGAGCGGUGUACAGCGACCUGAGAACCGCCAAAGUUGCUGCUCCUCGAUCGCUAACAGUUUCCUACGAACGGAUCGAUCUCGCGGACGAAAAUAUACGGUGAACACGAAAUAAAGCAGGAUGGAACGUACAGGAUGGACAUAUACAAAUAAUAACAAUUACUAUCAUUAGUAUUAUUAUUAUUACUAUUAUUAUUAUUACUAUUAUUGUUGCUUUAUUAUUAUUAUUAUUAUUAUUAUUAUUAUUAUUAAUAUUAUCGUUAUUACGAUUACUAUUAUUAUUAUUAAUAUUAUUAUCAUCAUCAUUGAUUAUCGCGGUUAUUAUUAUUGUUUAUUAUUAUUAUUAAUGUUAUUAUUAUUAUUACGUUGACUUACAAUAGCGUCGCGUUUCUCUGAAAUCUGAGACAAUUGCGACGAUUAUAGAGUAAGCCCGGUUUCUCUGGGUAUGCGAGUCUCAUGUGGAACACAGUUGAUCGUUAUAUAUUUAUUAAAGUGUAUAUAGAGAAACAGAUGAUACAGGCUCGUUAUUAGAAAAUGGAAGGUAGCGUGAAGAGAUUGAUCAUGGACUACGAUCCGUUGGAAAAAAAGAACAUCAUUGUCGAGGAUUUGUAACAGGAACCGGUGACGUUCUUCUCCGACAAUGUAUAUAUUUACACGUAUACAUACACACAUACAUACUCCCUCCGUUCGUUUGAUCCGCCUGUGUGCUAACUUUUAAAUAAAGUAAAUAAAUCAGAAACAUCUUAUCCCCGACCUGAUUCCUCGCGCUUCAAUCGUCCCGCGAAACGUUGAUCGCCAAAAUCCCGGCCCAACAGCACGUUUCGCGAAAUAAAGGAUCCUCCAUCCUUGUAUGCAUGAGUAACAACAUGUUUGCCUGCGUUGUUUGUGUGCACCUGUGAGCGCACGUGUGUUUGUCAAACGUCGAAAGAACGAGUACAGUGACUCGUGCCGUGAUCGCAGAGAGUGGAUUGUGCUCGAUAGAAACGCUUCUUGGGUAUCGGAUUUGAAUGAAACGCUUCGGGCUAACGCUGGAAAUACUAUACGAAUAAGAAUUACCCAUUUUGGAUUUUUUCUUGUACGAUUAUCGAAAAGGCUUUUACAGCUUAUACAAGGAAAUACACAUUAGGCACUUCGGCUGCUCAAAUGGUGGUGUACAAGAGGCGGCAUUACUACGUGCCGGGGCCGUCCACGAUGCCGAACAAGAGGACUGUGAUCGCGCCUAACAGCAACCUCUACCGGAAGAGGAUCGCCUAC